AACGAACGCUGGCGGCAUGCCUAACACAUGCAAGUCGAACGAGACCUUCGGGUCUAGUGGCGCACGGGUGCGUAACGCGUGGGAACCUGCCCUUAGGUUCGGAAUAACUCCCCGAAAGGGGUGCUAAUACCGGAUAAUGUCUUCGGACCAAAGAUUUAUCGCCUUUGGAUGGGCCCGCGUUGGAUUAGCUAGUUGGUAGGGUAAUAGCCUACCAAGGCGACGAUCCAUAGCUGGUCUGAGAGGAUGAUCAGCCACACUGGGACUGAGACACGGCCCAGACUCCUACGGGAGGCAGGAGAGGGGAAUAUUGGACAAUGGGCGAAAGCCUGAUCCAGCAAUGCCGCGUGAAUGAUGAAGGCCUUAGGGUUGUAAAGCUCUUUUACCCGGGAUGAUAAUGACAGUACCGGGAGAAUAAGCUCCGGCUAACUCCGUG
rnacentral:rRNA from 1 species